UACGUAGGGGGCAAGCGUUGUCCGGAUUUAUUGGGCGUAAAGGGCGUGUAGGCGGCUUAACAGGCCGGUUGUGAAAACUCGAGGCUCAACCUCGAGACGCCGGUGGAAACCGUAAAGCUAGAGUCCGGAAGAGGAGAGUGGAAUUCCUGGUGUAGCGGUGAAAUGCGCAGAUAUCAGGAGGAACACCCGUGGCGAAAGCGGCUCUCUGGGACGGUACUGACGCUGAGACGCGAAAGCGUGGGGAGCAAACAGG
rnacentral:rRNA from 1 species